CAGCCGCCGCGGUAAUACAGAGGGUGCGAGCGUUAAUCGGAUUUACUGGGCGUAAAGCGUGCGUAGGCGGCUUCUUAAGUCGGAUGUGAAAUCCCUGAGCUUAACUUAGGAAUUGCAUUCGAUACUGGGAAGCUAGAGUAUGGGAGAGGAUGGUAGAAUUCCAGGUGUAGCGGUGAAAUGCGUAGAGAUCUGGAGGAAUACCGAUGGCGAAGGCAGCCAUCUGGCCUAAUACUGACGCUGAGGUACGAAAGCAUGGGGAGCAAACAGGAUUAGAGACCCCCGUAGUCCCUGUCUCUUAUAC
rnacentral:rRNA from 1 species